UACGUAGGGCGCAAGCGUUAUCCGGAAUUAUUGGGCGUAAAGAGCUCGUAGGCGGUUUGUCGCGUCUGCUGUGAAAACUGGGGGCUCAACCCCCAGCCUGCAGUGGGUACGGGCAGACUAGAGUGCGGUAGGGGAGAUUGGAAUUCCUGGUGUAGCGGUGGAAUGCGCAGAUAUCAGGAGGACACCGAUGGCGAAGGCAGAUCUCUGGGCCGUAACUGACGCUGAGGAGCGAAAGCAUGGGGAGCGAACAG
rnacentral:rRNA from 1 species